UACAGAGGUGGCAAGCGUUGUUCGGAAUUACUGGGCGUAAAGGGCGCGUAGGCGGUCUUGUCAGUCCCUUGUGAAAUCCCCCGGCUCAACUGGGGAACUGCACGGGAAACAGCAGGGCUUGAGUUCGGGAGAGGGAAGCGGAAUUCCGGGUGUAGCGGUGAAAUGCGUAGAUAUCCGGAGGAACACCGGUGGCGAAGGCGGCUCCCUGGACCGAUACUGACGCUGAGGCGCGAAAGCUAGGGGAGCAAACGGG
rnacentral:rRNA from 1 species